AUACGGAGGGUGCAAGCGUUAUGCGGAAUCACUGGGCGUAAAGGACGCGUAGGCGGGUUGGCAAGUCAGAUGUGAAAUCCUACAGCUUAACUGUAGAACUGCAUUUGAAACUGCUAACCUAGAGUAUGGGAGGGGGAGAUGGAAUUAGUGGUGUAGGGGUAAAAUCCGUAGAUAUCACUAGGAAUACCGAAAGCGAAGGCGAUCUCCUGGAACAUAACUGACGCUAAGGCGUGAAAGCGUGGGGAGCAAACAGGAUUAGAUACCCCAGUAGUCC
rnacentral:rRNA from 1 species